rnacentral:rRNA from 1 species
UACGGAGGGUGCGAGCGUUGUCCGGAAUCACUGGGCGUAAAGGGCGCGUAGGCGGCCUGAUAAGUAGGGGGUGAAAUCCUGCGGCUUAACCGCAGGGCUGCCUUCUAAACUGUCAGGCUAGAGCACAGUAGAGGCAGGUGGAAUUCCCGGUGUAGCGGUGGAAUGCGUAGAGAUCGGGAAGAACAUCAGUGGCGAAGGCGGCCUGCUGGGCUGUUGCUGACGCUGAGGCGCGACAGCGUGGGAGCAACGA